AGGCCUAAUACAUGCAAGUCGAGGGGUAACAGGAAGUGCUUGCACUUCGCUGACGACCGGCGCACGGGUGAGUAUCGCGUAUACAAUCUACCUCAUACUAGGGGAUAGCCCGAAGAAAUUUGGAUUAAGACCCUAUAGUAUCUUUAAAAGGCAUCUUUUUUAGAUUAAAGGUUACGGUAUGAGAUGAGUAUGCGUUCUAUUAGCUGGUAGGUGUGGUAACGGCACACCUAGGCUACGAUAGAUAGGGGCCCUGAGAGGGGGAUCCCCCACACUGGUACUGAGACACGGACCAGACUCCUACGGGAGGCAGCAGUAAGGAAUAUUGGUCAAUGGACGAAAGUCUGAACCAGCCAUGCCGCGUGCAGGAUGACUGCCCUAUGGGUUGUAAACUGCUUUUAUAUAGGAAGAAAAACUUUCUCGUGAGAAAGCUUGACGGUACUAUAAGAAUAAGGAUCGGCUAACUCCGUGCCAGCAGCCGCGGUAAUACGGAGGAUCCAAGCGUUAUCCGGAAUUAUUGGGUUUAAAGGGUCCGUAGGUGGAUAAAUAAGUCAGAGGUGAAAUCCUGCAGCUUAACUGUAGAACUGCCUUUGAUACUGUUUAUCUUGAGUUAUUAUGAAGUGGUUAGAAUGUGUAGUGUAGCGGUGAAAUGCAUAGAUAUUACACAGAAUACCAAUUGCGAAGGCAGAUCACUAAUAAUCAACUGACACUGAUGGACGAAAGCGUGGGUAGCGAACAGGAUUAGAUACCCUGGUAGUCCACGCCGUAAACGAUGGUCACUAGCUGUUUGGACUUCGGUCUGAGUGGCUAAGCGAAAGUGAUAAGUGACCCACCUGGGGAGUACGUC
rnacentral:rRNA from 1 species